GACGAACCGUGCGAACGGUUGUUCGGAAUCACUGGGCUUAAAGGGCGCGUAGGCGGGCUGACAAGUCUGGGGUGAAAUGCCGCGGCUCAACCGUGGAACUGCCUUAGAUACUGUCGGCCUCGAGGAAGGUAGGGGCAUGCGGAACUGUAGGUGGAGCGGUGAAAUGCGUUGAUAUCUACAGGAACUCCGGUGGCGAAGGCGGCUUCCUGGACCGACACUGACGCUGAGGCGCGAAAGCUAGGGGAGCAAACGGG
rnacentral:rRNA from 1 species